GACGAACGCUGGCCUGCGUGCCUAAUACAUGCAAGUUGAGCGCUGAAGGUUGGUACUUGUACCAACUGGAUGAGCAGCGAACGGGUGAGUAACGCGUGGGGAAUCUGCCUUUGAGCGGGGGACAACAUUUGGAAACGAAUGCUAAUACCGCAUAAAAACUUUAAACACAAGUUUUAAGUUUGAAAGAUGCAAUUGCAUCACUCAAAGAUGAUCCCGCGUUGUAUUAGCUAGUUGGUGAGGUAAAGGCUCACCAAGGCGAUGAUACAUAGCCGACCUGAGAGGGUGAUCGGCCACAUUGGGACUGAGACACGGCCCAAACUCCUACGGGAGGCAGCAGUAGGGAAUCUUCGGCAAUGGACGAAAGUCUGACCGAGCAACGCCGCGUGAGUGAAGAAGGUUUUCGGAUCGUAAAACUCUGUUGGUAGAGAAGAACGUUGGUGAGAG
rnacentral:rRNA from 1 species